AUGCUUCCAGGAAGUCCCCCAGUGCCUUACAGGAGUGAUGCCACAUCUAAUGGGGCACGUAAGUCUAAGCAUUGGUGGUUUCCUCAGACUCUUCAACACUUUUUCAGGCUGAGGGGUCUUAGAAUUCUACUCAUGAGAUGCUACAGUCAUUGCCUACAGUCUGAGGAUCACAGCCUAAGCCCUGUCUGUUUCUCCAAGGCAGAGAGACCAAGGGCUGGGUCUGAGACACAGGGCAGUUCCAGCUAGGUUUGCUCACACUGACAAACACAUCAGGGAGCUGACAGCAGCCACAGCCACAGGGCCGGUGUCCUCAGGGUCUAGAAUCACUUUGGAAGCCCUUGGCAACUCUACACUCAUCCUGGGACCACCUCACAGCUGACCCCUCUCCGGAAGACACAGAAGAUAUGGUGAAAAAUAGUCCUUGGCCUGGGAGGACAUACAAAGGAUAGAUUGAAAUUCUCAGGGGCCCCUAUUCUUUGCUGAUGUCUUUUUCUUUGGAGAUAGUAUAGGUUAGAUUUCUAAUAAAGGAAUGUAUGCAUCCUUGACCUAGGGAAAUCUAUUACAGCUGAAUACAAAAAGGCCCAAAGACUCGCCCUCCACCUAAAACUGGCUAUGAAGAAAAAUGAGUAGAAGAAGAAGAAAAAAAGGAGAGAGAGAACCUUUGGGAAAUUUAAAAGAUAUAUUUCACUUUUAAUUAAUUAUGUGUAUGUGUGCCCAGGUAUGGAUACAUGAGUGCAGUGCUCCUGGAAGGCAGAAGAGGGCGCUGGAUCCCCCAAAGCUGGACUCAAAGGCAGGGAAGGCAGCGGGACUGUCUCCUUGCUCCCUGUGCUCAAGGAAUAAGGAGGGUUUGACCUGGCUCCCACUUCCAGGGUCACACAGGAUGGGCUCCUUCCCAGAAAUCUACUGUACCUGCGGCCGGCCAGCCAGCCCAGAUUCCGGGUCUCAGAGAAUUCCAUGAACACCCUUCAAAUUUAUUGCCAUAAGACUCACCUAAGGCCCUGGGUUGGCCGGGAUGGGAAAUCCAUCUUAGGACUGCCUGGUGUCCUUUGUCACUGGAUGUUUCCGGACCUCAGCCCACAACAGAAACAGCCUGGUUUUAUUUCCUUCAAAUCCAUCCGAAGCUCCUGCACUGGUUUACCCACCACACUGCAGAGAAUUGAGCCUUACUCUUAUCACCCGCUCCGUGCUCCUGGGCUUACACAUCAUCCAUCCCCAUCGAGAAAACAGCCUGUGAUAUCCAAUCCAUCUCAUGUGUGGUCCCCGUGGCUCUCUGCCUUGUUCUCCCAUGGAGUUGGAAGACUUAGCCAAGAAGGAGGGUCCAGCUCUGAGACCCCAGCCUCUCAAACGUACCCGCCACCCAGUAGGAGUCCUGGCUCUUUCCUAGAAAUGCAAGCGGGAGUGAAGCAUGGAGCCUUGUUCCCGUGCCACAGACUUAUGAUCAGUUCUCAAUCCAUAAAAAAGAAAAAAAACGUGUCACCCCUUUUAUCUUCCCACCCUGGAGCAUUUUCCCUCGUUUCCCAAUGACAAUCUAGGAGGCCGGCAAGAUCACUUUGGUACAUCCAGGUACCUGGGAAGCAGAAAGUGCCAGUCAUUCUCAAAAUGGACCAAAAAUGCCCCAAUUCCAAUUUUCUGUAAAAUACAAAAAAAUCAAUCACAUCUAUGCCAUGUGGCAAGAACACCCCGGAGUUAGACUACCAGGAGGAGUUGUAUCUGGUGGUCUGAGGCAUCCUUCUUCCUCCUUUCCCAUAUUUCUCUCCAUUUUAGGACUCUGGCCCCUGCCGGUUCUGAGCCCACAAAUAUGAUGGUUUUGGCUUCUGCUACUGAGACAGAUAGGAAGCCUAGCUUGUGGGAUAGGUGACCCUCAGCAAUGGCCUCUCCUUUCUUCCACGGGGCAGCUCCUCCCACUGAAGCCCACCCUGCUUCCUGUUUCUCAGCAGACAAUAUCGAUGCCGAGACUCCCGUUUCAGCAAGGGUGGAAGCUGGUUGUCAUGCUGUGGACACUAAGGCUGCCGUGAUGCCCUGCGUUAAGCUUUUUGGUUCUUCUAACCUGAGACAGUCUCAUAAUUAGGCUUUCUCUUCUUCAGAACUUUGAAGAAUUUUGUUUUGUUUUGUUUUUCUUUUUUUUUUUUUUCCGGAGCUGGGGACCGAACCCAGGGCCUUGUGCUUACUAGGCAAGCGCUCUAUCACUGAGCUAAAUCCCCAACCCUUGAAGAAUUGUUUUUUAUCCUUGCCAGAUCCCACCUUGCUGUCUACCAUUUGCUUCGGGGCCACUUUAUCGGGUAGCAGCUCUGUUCGCUGGGCUGAAAAGGAUGCAAAAUAGUUUCUUUUCUCAUCUUUGUGACCAAAAUGCCUGACAGAAGCAACUUAAGGGAGGAAGGAUUUGAGUAGUCCACCAUAGUGCAACGGGCACAUGUGAAUGUGUGGUGCGUGGGUGCGUGGGUGCGUGGGUGCGUGGG